rnacentral:rRNA from 1 species
UACGAAGGGUGCAAGCGUUACUCGGAAUUACUGGGCGUAAAGGGCGCGUAGGCGGUUUGCAUAGUCAGACGUGAAAUUCCUGGGCUUAACCUGGGGGCUGCGUUUGAUACAUGCAGGCUUGAGUUCGGAAGAGGGUCGUGGAAUUCCCAGUGUAGAGGUGAAAUUCGUAGAUAUUGGGAAGAACACCGGUGGCGAAGGCGGCGACCUGGUCCGAUACUGACGCUGAGGCGCGAAAGCGUGGGGAGCAAACAGG